rnacentral:rRNA from 1 species
AUUGAACGCUGGCGGCAGGCCUAACACAUGCAAGUCGAGCGGAUGAAGGGAGCUUGCUCCUGGAAUCAGCGGCGGACGGGUGAGUAAUGCCUAGGAAUCUGCCUGGUAGUGGGGGAUAACGUCCGGAAACGGCGCUAAUACCGCAUACGUCCUGAGGGAGAAAGUGGGGGGAUCUUCGGACCUCACGCUAUCAGAUGAGCCUAGGUCGGAUUAGCUAGUUGGUGGGGUAAAGGCCUACCAAGGCGACGAUCCGUAACUGGUCUGAGAGGACGAUCAGUCACACUGGAACUGAGACACGGUCCAGACUCCUACGGGAGGCAGCAGUGGGGAAUAUUGGACAAUGGGCGAAAGCCUGAUCCAGCCAUGCCGCGUGUGUGAAGAAGGUCUUCGGAUUGUAAAGCACUUUAAGUUGGGAGGAAGGGCAGUAAGUUAAUACCUUGCUGUUUUGACGUUACCAACAGAAUAAGCACCGGCUAACCUCGUG